rnacentral:lncRNA from 1 species
GGGGGGCAAGUCCCCAGCUCCACAGGCCCGCGUGGGCCCUGAAUGCCCCCUUUAUGAGGGGUAACCUCAUUACACAAGCCACGCCACAUGGUGGAAUUUCAAAUGGGGUUUUGUGGUUUCUGCCCUUCUCAGCAGAGCGCACACAGGCAGCUGCGGUCGCCCGGCUUCCUCUGCCGCCGCAGCCCUGGCACCCGGCCAGCCCAGUGACCACCCGUCCAUCCAUCACAAGGAAAUGACACUGAGCUUACUUGUCCUCCUGGGUCAGCUGGAGAUGGUUCGUGGCACAGAGGCAGGAGUCAUCUGGAGCCCGAAAGCGCAGUCCCUAGGAUCCACCCCAGCCACCAGCGGCCCCAGCACGGCUUAUGAAGAGGGGCGUGCUCCCAGCUUCGCUGCCCGCUUGCUGGUGAACCGCUGCUGAGUCAACGAAGCAGGUUCCCAAAGUAGAAACCUUGUCAGAUUCCAAAGAAUGUCAGCCCCAGUGACUCACGUGUGUUGCUUCCUAAACACGCUCCCAGGGGGUUGGGAUCAGCCCAGCCAUCUCCGGAGAAGCAUCCCAAGGCUCUGAGAGGAAAGCUGGGUUCUGGCCACGAAGGAGCUGGGCCCAGGCCUAGCUGCCAAGAAAGGAGCUCCCGCUAGGAAACUCUGAGUCAAUCAACUUCUCCUUUUGGAUUUGGCUUCACAGCGCCUUGCUGUGCCUACAGCUGAGAACUAUGGCUCUGGGAGGCGUUGCCUGGCGGAUGGUGUCUGGGAGGUUUGCAUUUCUUGUGGUGACGGUGUUGUUGAUGGCAGGGGUGGCAAUCCU